rnacentral:rRNA from 1 species
CGCCACGCCCGCUCAAGAAACUACAAAGGAAGUUGACGGGCCCCGCACAAGCAGCGGAGCGUGGGGUUUAAUUCGAUGCAACGCGAAGAACCUUACCAGGGCUUGACAUGACCAGGACAGCGGCGGAAACGUCGCCUUCCCGCAAGGGACCUGGCCACAGGUGUUGCAUGGCUGUCGUCAGCCCGUGUCGUGAGAUGUUGGGUUAAGUCCCGCAACGAGCGCAACCCCUACCGUGUGUUGUAUCACUCACACGGGACUGCCGAGAGAAACUCGGAGGAAGGCGGGGAUGACGUCAAGUCAGCAUGGCCCUUACGUCCUGGGCUACACCCACGCUACAAUGGCCGGUACAACGGGCUGCGAAACCGCGAGGUGGAGCAAAUCCCUUAAAGCCGGUCUCAGUUCGGAUUGUAGGCUGCAACUCGCCUGCAUGAAGCCGGAGUUGCUAGUAACCGCCGGUCAGCAUACGGCGGUGAAUAUGUUCCCGGGGCUU